GUUCAGGACAAGAGAGACUUUGAUCUGGGCUGCACACAUAUGGAAGUGAUUUUUGACAUUCCAUCCAGAUUAAAGCAUGUUUGGAGAAACAUUUCAUUAACCCCAUUUCUGGCUAUGGGAAGCAGGUGUGUUCCAGUGCCAGCAGGUUAAUAAAGCUUGACGGCAGUAGUGAAAUGUUCAGCACUCCCUCCAGUGCAGGCCAUGAAGAAGAGUAAAGGCCAUUAAAGCAACCAUCACAGUAACUCUCCUCUGCUUGCGCGCUGUAGGCUGUAACUCUGGUGGAUGUGAAGUUAAAGAUGAACCCUACUACUAUGCAGAAACACUGGAGAACAGAGAUAGAAAUGCCAGCACUGUCAGCAUGGUGUGUGAGUUCAGGCUCUGAC
ensembl:lncRNA